ACGCUGGCGGUAUGCUUAACACAUGCAAGUCGAACGGAAUCUUUCGGGAUUUAGUGGCGGAACGGGUGAGUAACGCGUAAGAAUCUACCUUCAGGUCGAGGACAACCACUGGAAACGGUGGCUAAUACUGGAUGUACCGAGAGGUAAAAGGCUUGCUGCCUGAAGAAGAGCUUGCGUCUGAUUAGCUAGUUGGUGGGGUAAAGGCUCACCAAGGCGACGAUCAGUAGCUGGUCUGAGAGGAUGAUCAGCCACACUGGGACUGAGACACGGCCCAGACUCCUACGGGAGGCAGCAGUGGGGAAUUUUCCGCAAUGGGCGAAAGCCUGACGGAGCAAUACCGCGUGAGGGAGGAAGGCUCUUGGGUUGUAAACCUCUUUUCUCAGGGAAGAAAAAAAUGACGGUCACCCUGAGGAAUAAGCAUCGGCUAACUCCGUGCCAGCAGCCGCGGUAAUACGGGAGGAUGCAAGCGUUAUCCGGGAAUGAUUGGGCGUAAAGGGUCCGCAGGUGGCAUUGUAUGUCUGCUGUUAAAGAGUUUGGCUCAACCCAAUA
rnacentral:rRNA from 1 species